UUUAUUUAAAUUUAGCUUUAAAUUUAGAUCUAAUUGUGCAAAUAAUAAUUGUUUCGUUGAAAUUUGAAUUUCAAACGAAUUUACGUAAGUCCAUGUGAAUUCUGAGAACAAUUUAUGAUGCUUGGUUUUUUUAAAAGAUUCUGGAGGAAACGCCAUUUAAACACAUCCUGGUUAAAUGAUCGCUUACGAAUAAUGAUCAACAGAAUAUUCGAAAUUAUAUAAUGAAAAGUUUUAAAUAGGUCAGAUACAUUAGUUGGUUAUUGAGAAGAUGAAUAAUAUUAAAGACGUUAAGUAUGAUUCCAUUGUAUCGAUUGAGAAAUGAAAUUAAACUUCGAUUCAAAUACGUUUAACCUUUGAAUUAAAUUUAAUUUCAAUUAUUUCCUGUUAAAAAUACUUGAAUUUUAAAAAAAAUAUAUAAGAGAAUAAUAAUAAUUUAAUGAUAUUAAUGUAAGAAAGGAGAAUAUAAAACACACUUAACCUCUUUAAGGAAAAGCCCCUUGAAGGAAGAAUUUGACCGAGGAAGUCUAGCUCUGGACUAGAAGAACGCAACUCUCGUGGAACGCGAUCGAGUGCAUCGAAUGGCGGUCACGGUUUUUGAACAAACCACAGGUGACAGGUGGAGACUUGUAAGAUUUAUUGUGGACGAUGCACGUAAAGCGGUUCGGUCGAAAAGCAAAAGAGGAAAGAACAAUUUUUCGCUGACAAAACGAGUGAUUGUCGUCGUUUAUAAACUCUAAUUAAGAUAAUUGCAACUAAGGACGCGUUUAAAGCGUAGCAAAGGGGACGAACCAUUAAACUCUCAAACAUGUUAUUUGGUGGUUGGAGAAAUAACAUGGAAUUUCGAUGGAAAGAAAAUUUAAUAUUAUUGCGUGCAUAUUUUUAUUUGCUUCAAUUUUUAUAUAUAUCUUUUUAUGGAACGAAAUUGAAACUCAAACAAAAUUCAAUGAG
rnacentral:lncRNA from 11 species